CCCUGUUAGUGACUCCAGUGUCCUCUUCGUUUAGGUUGCUGCUCUCCUGGAUCGUCUUGAUCCAAGCUAGCAUAUCAUCUCUGUCUUCAGCCUGAAACAGGCAUUCACAGUCGGACGUGGUGAGUCGAAACACAUUUUUCCUCUUGGUCUCACUGUAAGAGAUGUCUAUCAAGCAAGCAUUAACACUGAUGGGCUGCUCUUCCUCAGACGGAGUCGUCUGCUCUCUUUUAUCUUUGUACAGGUAAAGUGAAUGACCCCGAAGGACAACAUACAUCUGUUUCCAUGGCCGAAUACUU
rnacentral:lncRNA from 1 species